rnacentral:rRNA from 1 species
AUUGAACGCUGGCGGCAUGCCUUACACAUGCAAGUCGAACGGCAGCACGGACUUCGGUCUGGUGGCGAGUGGCGAACGGGUGAGUAAUGCAUCGGAACGUGCCCAAUCGUGGGGGAUAACGUAGCGAAAGUUACGCUAAUACCGCAUACGAUCUAAGGGUGAAAGCGGGGGAUCGCAAGACCUCGCGCGAAUGGAGCGGCCGAUGUUAGAUUAGGUAGUUGGUGGGGUAAAGGCUCACCAAGCCGACGAUCUAUAGCUGGUCUGAGAGGAUGAUCAGCCACACUGGGACUGAGACACGGCCCAGACUCCUACGGGAGGCAGCAGUGGGGAAUUUUGGACAAUGGGCGCAAGCCUGAUCCAGCCAUUCCGCGUGCAGGAUGAAGGCCCUCGGGUUGUAAACUGCUUUUGUACAGAACGAAAAGCUCUGGGUUAAUACCCUGGGGUCAUGACGGUACUGUAAGAAUAAGCACCGGCUAACUACGUGCCAGCCGCCGCCGUAACAC